UAUUGUUCGUUUGUGGAGGUAUUUAUAAUAAGGGAAAAUGUCUAUGGCGAGUAUGAUGGUAAGAGCAGGAGUAGUGAUAAAUGUAAAUUGAUCUCGGUGACUAGAAUAUAACACCAUUCAACUCGGUCAUCAGCAUCAUUGGGUUUUGUGUUAUGCAUGCCUUCGACAAGAGAAAAAAGAUGUAUGUAAGCAUCGCACAAAGGCACGAAGUUUCCGUGGAACAUUCUACGUUGCUCAAGUCGAGUAUGCGCUAGAUAUGGGCUACCAAGUUUUGCAUGCUUUUGAGGCAUUACAUUACCAAAGUCAAGAGUAUUUAGAGAGGCCCUUUUUACUGCUUUUUGCAAAGAAAAAAAUUGAAUUUACUUUGGCAAAUAAGCCUGCAUCGAAAACGGAUAUCUUGGACAUGGAAAACGAGAUGAAUCUUGACAUUCCUGUGCUCAAACUUCGAACUUCUUCGAAUGAGCUAUCCCCUUUGCUUCAAGGAUUUUAUAAAAGGGCUCCCAACGAUAUCUUUGGGAAGUUCAUGGCCAAGCCGGGCUCCAACACCUCAAUUGUGCAUUCCAAUGCAGAAAUCUGCGAUGUCUUUUUUUCAAUGGCAAGAAAACUCAGGGACGUCAAUCCAAUCACGGAACAUAUCUGCGAAGUGACAAAUGAGUGUAUCACCGAUUGGUCCUUCCUUGGAGGCAACCUGAUGGCUGGAAUGGCCAUUGUUUUGGAAGCUCAAAUGUUCAUGCUACAAAAGAUGACGGCACUAAUGCAAAGGAAUGUCAAUGUGUUGGGAAUUGCCACCGAUUGCUUGUUUCUCAGCUACCCUAAGACACUUGAUCCCCCUGUGGAAGUGAGCUUGACAUUGGGCAAGUUUAAAGAUGCAUAUCCGUGCCAUGAAAAGGAUAAUUACAUCAAAGAAUUCAUGGCACUCAAUUCGAGGGAUUAUUGCAUCCAAUUCAUGGACGGGUAAAUGGUAGUUAAGCUCAGAGGAUUCAAUCUAACGGCUCCGGCUUCCCGUGAAUCCUUCAUGACCCAGUUUGCCUCAAUCAAGACGGCAAUUUUGGAACACAGAAGGUCUUGUCUUAAGAUCGAUCAAUUCCGAUUGAGAAAAGGCAUUGGAGUAUCACCGGUUAUGAAGAAAAUUGCGUUCAACUUCAGUCCAUACGUUUCCCGCCGUAUUGUGUUCGAAAACAGCGACGGUGAUUUGAAGUCGUUACCAUUAGGAAUAAAAAGUCUCAAAUAACGGCUUUGAGACGGGCAAUGGCUAUUGCCACAAGCCUCUCUUCUUCCUCUUCCUCUUCUUCAAGUAUGGGUGGGGGUGGAGAGGGAGACGGAGUGGCCAAACUAAACGGUGGAAGCCCCUCUUCCCUUCCAAGUGAAAAGUAUGGAUCGGCCAAAUCGGAUAUGGAUGAAACCGCUCCUUCUCCAGAUGGGCUUUGCCGGGAUGUCACUACAGUUCUUCCUCGCCUGAUGAAACGCCAAAUCCCACCGAACACAAGCAUCACCAAAGCGGCAAUCAGACAAAACAAGCCGCCCGCUCUUAACCACAAGUCGAAUUUGCCUCCUGGAUCAACGGAAUGACAAGCAACUGUCCAACAAGGAACGUUACUGAAAUGGAUGAAAAAUAGUUUAUUGAUCGGCAAGUUAAUCUGUAUUUAAAUUAUGAGU